rnacentral:lncRNA from 1 species
CUGCUGCUGCCUGCAGGCUGCAGCUUGACCUCCUUCCAAUCCAUCUGCUCGAGGCAUCACUCGACUCAAGCAGCAGAGCGCGACGAUAAAAAGAAGCCACCGACCACUGCUCGCUCUCUCUGUCACUCUCUCUCCCUGCUCGCUCGCCUCUCUCGCCCCUGUUCUCGUCGAUCGCCCACCUCUCGGUUCUCGGUGUCGGCCCGAUGGGCGCUUCCUUCUGGCUUGCCGUUCUUGCAGGCGCGCUGGUCAUGACAGCGGGCGCGCAGGCGCAGGUGCAGUACUGCGAGGCACCCUGCCCGCCCUGUGCCCUGUGCGUGCAGACUCCAUGUCCGGCCAUCGCUGCCUGCCCUGCCUCGGCGCCCUGCAC